GCCCGGGUAGCUCAGUCGGCAGAGCGGCUCACUCGUAAUGAGCAGGUCAGGAGUUCGAUUCUCCUCUCGGGCUC
rnacentral:tRNA from 1 species